AUUGCACUAUUAAUCAGAAACUGUUCACGGUUUAUGGACUUGUUUCCUUCAUGCAGUGCAAAGAAAGAUGAUAAUCAUACUCACUUUACCCGUACGUCUGUUGACAUUGUCAAGCAGUGAUGGCGUAUGGGUCAUUAUCGUAUGACACAUUCU
rnacentral:snoRNA from 1 species